GGGGAUUCUUCGGUAGUGGGGGUAUGACAUCAUGCGAAGUGGCGGCAAGGCAUCACAGAUUUUGGGGACUGUAGUCACGAAUGUGUAGCGU